rnacentral:rRNA from 1 species
UACAGAGGGGGCAAGCGUUGUUCGGAAUUACUGGGCGUAAAGGGCGCGUAGGCGGCCUGUUAAGUCGAACGUGAAAUCCCCGGGCUCAACCCGGGAACUGCGUCCGAUACUGGCAGGCUUGAAUCCGGGAGAGGGAUGCGGAAUUCCAGGUGUAGCGGUGAAAUGCGUAGAUAUCUGGAGGAACACCGUGGCGAAGGCGCAUCCUGGACCGGCAUUGACGCUGAGGCGCGAAAGCCAGGGGAGCAAACGGGG